CCUACGGGUGGCAGCAGUGAGGAAUAUUGGUCAAUGGACGAAAGUCUGAACCAGCCAAGUAGCGUGAAGGAUGACUGCCCUAUGGGUUGUAAACUUCUUUUAUAUGGGAAUAAAAUGUUCCACGUGUGGGAUGUUGUAUGUACCAUAUGAAUAAGGAUCGGCUAACUCCGUGCCAGCAGCCGCGGUAAUACGGAGGUACCGAGCGUUAUCCGGAUUUAUUGGGUUUAAAGGGAGCGUAGGUGGAUUGUUAAGUCAGUUGUGAAAGUUUGCGGCUCAACCGUAAAAUUGCAGUUGAAACUGGCAGUCUUGAGUACAGUAGAGGUGGGCGGAAUUCGUGGUGUAGCGGUGAAAUGCUUAGAUAUCACGAAGAACUCCGAUUGCGAAGGCAGCUUACUGGACUGCAACUGACACUGAGGCUCGAAAGUGUGGGUAUCAAACAGGAUUAGAUACCCCUGUAGUC
rnacentral:rRNA from 1 species